rnacentral:misc_RNA from 1 species
UGAAAUUGGCAGGUUUUUCACCUGAUAAGGUCACAUAUAAUGCUUUAUUGGACGUUUAUGGGAAGUCUAGGCGGCCUAAGGAGGCUAUGGAGGUGUUAAGGGAAANGUAAUGGAUUCUCUCCUAGUAUUGUGACUUACAAUUCACUAAUAUCAGCUUAUGUGAGAGACUCUCUAUUGAGGGAAGCAAUGGAGCUUAAAGCCCAAAUGGUG